rnacentral:rRNA from 1 species
UACGUAGGGGGCAAGCGUUGUCCGGAAUCAUUGGGCGUAAAGCGCGUGUAGGCGGCUCGGUAAGUCUGCUGUGAAAGGCCAGGGCUCAACCCUGGGAUGCCGGUGGAUACUGUCGAGCUCGAGUCCGGAAGAGGCGAGUGGAAUUCCUGGUGUAGCGGUGAAAUGCGCAGAUAUCAGGAGGAACACCAAUGGCGAAGGCAGCUCGCUGGGACGUGACUGACGCUGAGACGCGAAAGCGUGGGGAGCAAACAGG